GUAAUAGAGGAGGCAGAUCAUACUAUUAGAUAGGAUAGAUUAAAAGGAGCUACUCAUUGAAUGGGUUUACAAGUUACCAAUAAACUAUGAAAGAACUACUUCUGUCCUGUGGUAGACUCAGCAUCUUGUAGAAGAAACUUUAGCAUUAAACAUUAUUAUGCAUAAAGAGAAAACCAAAACAGUUUCAUCAACAAAAUUUAGGAAGCCAUGCUUAUAUGACACUUGAUCUCAGACAGAAUGUCUGCAAGUGAUAAAGCUGUAUCUAGGAAUGUGUAACUUUGUGUUGGAAUGUUGAGAAAAAUACAUUGCCAUAGUUUAGAAAUCAAUUCCCAUAAAAGCCUGAACCAAGGAGUCUUCUCACUACAAACGGCCCUUAGAGCAUGCUGGUCACUAUUAUAUUUGUAUGUUCAUAAUCUAUAGAAAUUCUAACAUAGUCAGAUAACAUACUUGAGGCAAUUUCCUUUUUGUUUAUUUCUUUAUAGGAAAACAUGUGAUUACAUCAAAUGCUACAUGGUGUAGAGCUGUAGACUACAGUUGGUUCUGAAUUACUCAUCAGACUAGUCAUGAAGAAAUGGUUGUGAUCUUUGAAGCUGAGACUUCAUCAUAGAAGCCAGGGCAGAAAGACUGUGAGAGCCAGAGGGCCACACAUGGUUAAAAGAUGAUGAGGCAACACAUUCAACAAGGUGGUCCUGCCCUCCU